rnacentral:rRNA from 1 species
GUCGAACGGUAACAGANNNANCUUGCUAGUUGCUGACGAGUGGCGCACGGGNNNNUAAUAUAUAGAUAAUGUGCCUUUUAGUCUGGGAUAGCCAUUGGAAACGAUGAUUAAUACCGGAUACUCCUUCUUAUCAAAAGAUAAGUCGGGAAAGUUUUUCGCUAAAAGAUCGGUCUAUAUCCCAUCAGCUUGUUGGUAGUGUAAGAGACUACCAAGGCGAUGACGGGUAGCGGGUUUGAGAGGAUGAUCCGCCACACUGGUACUGAGACACGGACCAGACUCCUACGGGAGGCAGCAGUGAGGAAUAUUGCACAAUGGGGGAAACCCUGAUGCAGCAACGCCGCGUGGAGGAUGACGCAUUUCGGUGUGUAAACUCCUUUUAUAUGUCAAGAAAAUGACGGUAGCAUAUGAAUAAGCACCGGCUAACUCCGUGCCAGCAGCCGCGGUAAUACGGAGGGUGCAAGCGUUAUUCGGAAUCACUGGGCGUAAAGGACGCGUAGGCGGGUUGGAAAGUCAGANNNGAAAUCCUACAGCUUAACUGUAGAACUGCAUUUGAAACUUCCAACCUAGAGUAUGGGAGGGGGAGAUGGAAUUAGUGGUGUAGGGGUAAAAUCCGUAGAUAUCACUAGGAAUACCCAAAGCGAAGGCGAUCUCCUGGAACAUUACUGACGCUAAGGCGUGAAAGCGUGGGGGAGCAAACAGGAUUAGAUACCCUGGUAGUCCACGCCCUAAACGAUGAACACUAGUCGUCCGGGAUGCUAGUCAUCUCGGUGAUGCACUUANCAGAUUNANGUGUUCCGCCUGGGGAGUACGGUCGCAAGAUUAAAACUCAAAGGAAUAGACGGGGACCCGCACAAGGUGGUGGAAGCAUGUGGUUUAAUUCGAAGAUACNCGAANAACCUUACCUGGCCUUGACAUUGANAGANCACUCUANAGAUANAGUGGNGCCNUCGGGNAACUU